UGUGUGGCUUAGGGUUUUUUUGGUCUUUUGGCUUUUGUUCUUAUCCCCACAGAGCCAAUUCGACCCCUGAGGAUACCAGAAGGGUGCUGGAGUUUAGGGGAUAAGGGUUUGGGUCUUUUUAGCUUUCUCUCUCUAGAUUUCUCUCUCUUAAUGCAAGAAAUGGUGGAUUUGGACUUAAUCUCUUUGCCUACUUGAUGCUGGCUGUUGUGGGAAGGCUUGGAGUUAGCUGUGGAAGAAGGAAAGAAGUAAUUGAUUAGUGUUCUUCGAGCUUACUGCCAGGAAGUGCAGAGGAAGAGCUAUAGAAAGCCGAGUAAGAGAGAAGGUUCAGCAGCGAGAGAAGAGCUUUUAAGUGGUGACUUCUCUACAUUAAUCUCGUAAAGAGCUGAAUUGGGGCUUCGGAAAAAAGUCAUGGUUAUCACUUGAGCUGAGAUUACAACUUGGGUGAGUUAAUUAGAAGUGCUUCAAUCCUCAGGGAGCUGGAAUUUCAAGUGAAGAAGCAGGUUUGGGACUUGAUUCCAGCAGCUAGAGAGGAGUUAUCUAGCUGUGAUUUAUCCACUUUAAUCUAGGGAAAAGCUGCUUUGAAGCUUGAUAAAGCGGGUUUCCGAAUCACUCUGAGCUAAUUGGUGACCUUGGGAACUGGUUUGGAAAAUAUUUCAACUAAGGCGAGGGUGCAACCGCCCUGUGAAUCAUCUUCCAUUGACAUUGGAGAGCCUUUAGAGGUUAAAUUGGAGCAAGGUUGAGGCCUACCUGAGCUGAAUUUCGGGACUCUUUUGGGCUGAAUCGAACUUAGUGCUAGGUCGGUCGGACCUAACCAGAGCAAGUGAACUCCUUCUAUGUUCAUUAUGAAGCUAUAUAACUACGAAUUAGACAUAAUUAUGUGAAUCAUGAAUGAUUGCCUUCUCUUUGAGUUUAAAUGCAUAAACAAUAAAUAAUGAUGCUAUCAAUGUAUGUCUCGGUUAAGAGUAUGUUCAAACAUUGUCAUUGACUAGUAGUUGAUGCAAGUGACAAAUGGAAUUGUAUAGUUCUUUUAUCUAGUCACUUAAUCUGGUGGAUACUAACAUGCUAUGCUGAAAUCCGACCUAAAGGUCGAGGGUAAGAACCUUAUAUAUGUUUAGAGAUGACAAUUGAGAAUUGUUAACUAUUAAUUACAUUUGCUUGCCAUUGUGCUCAUUCGCAUAUGCUUGUGAUGGUCGCUCCCUACAAGCCGGCACUCCGGAGUUGGCCUACGCGACAGUUGCUCGCCCGUGCGAGAUUGGGUGUCGAAGUGGAUUGCCGUGGGGAGUGUAUACUACCACGGGGCCAUUAGGCGCGGCGCAAGCUGGACUACCUUGAGUAGAUCCCUGUGAAUAAAAGAAAAGUGCUAAAGGGAAUUGGACAGUAAUGAAUGAUUACCAGUUACAGUGUACAGUAGUUACUUACACAUUUAUGCUUAUGUUCAUGCUUAUAAGCUUCUAUUAUUCAGUUGAUUCAUUACUAUUGAGACUAUGAUUAUAUGUUGCUUACAU